GUGGGGAAUAUUGGGCAAUGGGGGAAACCCUGACCCAGCGACGCCGCGUGAGGGAAGAAGGCCUUAGGGUCGUAAACCUCUGUUGUGUGGGAAGAAGAGCGUGACGGUACCACACGAGGAAGUCCCGGCUAACUACGUGCCAGCAGCCGCGGUAAUACGUAGGGGACGAGCGUUGUCCGGAUUUACUGGGCGUAAAGGGCGCGUAGGCGGUCAUUUAAGUCAGCUGUGAAAUGGUUUGGCUUAACCGGAUCAUGCGGUUGAAACUGGAUGACUGGAGUGCUGGAGAGGCAAGUGGAAUUCCCAGUGUAGCGGUGAAAUGCGUAGAUAUUGGGAAGAACACCGGUGGCGAAGGCGACUUGUUGGCCAGCAACUGACGCUGAGGCGCGAAAGCCAGGGGAGCAAACGGGAUUAGAAACCCUUGUAGUCC
rnacentral:rRNA from 1 species